rnacentral:tRNA from 1 species
GACUCCGUGAAGCAGCGGUAGUGCGUCUUACUCCAGAUAAGAAGGUUGCGUGUUCAAAUCACUUUGGGGUCA